CAUGGCCGGGGAUCCGCUUGAAGAAUGGCAAUGACGAGGUGGAACUCCUGCAUCCUCCGACCCUGGAUUUUAUUGCUGGUUUACUGGUUUUAGUUCAGAUGGAAGAUCUCCAGGAUUAGGAAGGUGAUUUCUCUCGUCAGACAAAUAUGGCAUUCAGGAUGUAAUCAGUGGUAUUUUAGGAAAGGCAUGGACAAUAUUUUUAUAGGUUCAGCGCUGGUAACUUUUUCCUUACCAUUGAAGAUCAUAUUUCUAGCGGUAAUGUACAUGUUGAUUUGAAGUUAAAAGUGAAAGUGAUGAGUUGACAUGAAUUUUGUGUGACAGGCUGCUAAUGCUUCGCUCUGCUCGCUAUGGAUAUGUCGGCCGGCGCCAACUUCUUCCUCCCCAUCGGCCAGGUGACCUUGUUGACUCCUCCCUCUUCACCGGCCAGCCCAACUCGCCGGCACCUCCCACCUCACCGGCCCAGGAGAGAUCCCCUCCCUCAAUGUCGCCGCGUCCUGUGCUCGCCGCCGUCCAUGAGCCGAUUCCGCAGUGCAGAUGAGCCUGAAGGUAAAGUUGCUUUCAGUUGCUU